rnacentral:rRNA from 2 species
AAAUUGAAGAGUUUGAUCAUGGCUCAGAUUGAACGCUGGCGGCAGGCCUAACACAUGCAAGUCGAACGGUAACAGGAAGCAGCUUGCUGCUUCGCUGACGAGUGGCGGACGGGUGAGUAAUGUCUGGGAAACUGCCCGAUGGAGGGGGAUAACUACUGGAAACGGUGGCUAAUACCGCAUAACGUCGCAAGACCAAAGAGGGGGACCUUCGGGCCUCUUGCCAUCGGAUGUGCCCAGAUGGGAUUAGCUGGUAGGUGGGGUAACGGCUCACCUAGGCGACGAUCCCUAGCUGGUCUGAGAGGAUGACCAGCCACACUGGAACUGAGACACGGUCCAG